rnacentral:rRNA from 1 species
GACGAACGCUGGCGGCGUGCUUAACACAUGCAAGUCGAACGGAAAGGCCCUGCUUUUGUGGGGUGCUCGAGUGGCGAACGGGUGAGUAACACGUGAGUAACCUGCCCCUGACUUUGGGAUAACUUCAGGAAACUGGGGCUAAUACCGGAUAGGAGCUCCUGCUGCAUGGUGGGGGUUGGAAAGUUUCGGCGGUUGGGGAUGGACUCGCGGCUUAGCAGCUUGUUGGUGGGGUAGUGGCUUACCAAGGCUUCGACGGGUAGCCGGCAUGAGAGGGUGACCGGCGACAUUGGGACUGAGAGAGGGACCAGACUGCUACGGGAGGCAGCAGUGGGGAAUAUUGCACAGUGGGCGGAAGCCUGAUGCAGCAACGCCGGGUGCGGGAUGACGGCCUUCGGGUUGUAAACCGCUUUGGCCUGUGACGAAGCGUGAGUGACGGUAAUGGGUAAAGAAGCACCGGCUAACUACGUG